UACAGAGGGGGCAAGCGUUAUUCGGAAUUAUUGGGCGUAAAGGACGCGUAGGCGGCCUUUCAAGUGACGGGUGAAAUCCCUCGGCUUAACCGAGGAACUGCCUGUCAGACUGGAAGGCUUGAGACCGGGAGAGGUGAGUGGAAUUCCCAGUGUAGCGGUGAAAUGCGUAGAUAUCAGGAGGAACACCAAUUGCGAAGGCAGCUCGCUGGGACGUUACUGACGCUGAGACGCGAAAGCGUGGGGAGCAAACAGG
rnacentral:rRNA from 1 species